ACCAGAGUCAUAUCACCCUGCAGCUCUCACCUUGUUUCCCACUGAAGCUAAACAGGAUUGAGCUGGGCCUGUACAUGUAUGGGAGACCUCCUGGGGAAAACUAAGGUUGCUACUGGAA
rnacentral:rRNA from 1 species